rnacentral:tRNA from 1 species
GGGGUUGUAGCUCAGUGGUAGAGCACUUAUCUUGUAUGUUUGAGGCAUUGGGUUCAAUCCUCAGCACCA